UGAGUUUGAUUCUGGCUCAGAUUGAACGCUGGCGGCAGGCCUAACACAUGCAAGUCGAGCGGUAGAGAGAAGCUUGCUUCUCUUGAGAGCGGCGGACGGGUGAGUAAUGCCUAGGAAUCUGCCUGGUAGUGGGGGAUAACGCUCGGAAACGGACGCUAAUACCGCAUACGUCCUACGGGAGAAAGCAGGGGACCUUCGGGCCUUGCGCUAUCAGAUGAGCCUAGGUCGGAUUAGCUAGUUGGUGGGGUAAUGGCUCACCAAGGCGACGAUCCGUAACUGGUCUGAGAGGAUGAUCAGUCACACUGGAACUGAGACACGGUCCAGACUCCUACGGGAGGCAGCAGUGGGGAAUAUUAAACAAUGAGCGAAGCUGAUCCAGCCAUGCCGCGUGUGUGAAGAAGGUCUUCGGAUUGUAAAGCACUUUAAGUUGGGAGGAAGGGCAGUAACCUAAUACGUUGCUGUCUUGACGUUACCGACAGAAUAAGCACCGGCUAACUCUGUGCCAGCAGCCGCGGUAAUACAGAGGGUGCAAGCGUUAAUCGGAAUUACUGGGCGUAAAGCGCGCGUAGGUGGUUUGUUAAGUUGGAUGUGAAAUCCCCGGGCUCAACCUGGGAACUGCAUUCAAAACUGACAAGCUAGAGUAUGGUAGAGGGUGGUGGAAUUUCCUGUGUAGCGGUGAAAUGCGUAGAUAUAGGAAGGAACACCAGUGGCGAAGGCGACCACCUGGACUGAUACUGACACUGAGUGCGAAAGG
rnacentral:rRNA from 1 species